rnacentral:rRNA from 1 species
GUUGACCUCGGAUCAGGUAGGAAUACCCGCUGAACUUAAGCAUAUCAAUAAGCGGAGGAAACCUCAUUCUUGAUGCUGGCAAUACCAUUUUGCAAAUGCUUCCCCUGCUC